rnacentral:snRNA from 1 species
GGGCGUUACAGCUCUUUUAGAAUUUGUCUAAUAGGUUUUCUCAUCCUCAUUGGAAAACCCCC